UGUGCAUGCUUUCAAGCUUCUCCUCGGGCUUCACAUCGUCAAGCGGUCAAGCGCAUAAUGAGGAUACUGCUGGAUUUGGGUCUGGUCAGACCGGGUUGUGUAUGCCGGUCAGACCGACGGUGAUCGAGCGGUCAAACCGGCCAGCUCGCGGUAUGACCGGCUGACGCUGUGUCGGUUUCGGUUUCAGGUGACUCGAGAUGCCGGGAGAGUAUUUGUGGUGAUGGACCGGGAGUCCGACUUGGGGAUAAGACGACGUCCGUGGUGGUUAGAGAUCAUGUGGGAUACUAAGGCUAGAGUUCAAUGCACGUGGAUGGUGAAGUUUCCUUAUGGUAUACGAUGGAGGAAUUGUGUGCGUAUGGGAUGUGGAGUCGAAUUUGGAAGGAGUCUAAAUUUGGUAGAAUUGGUUAUGUAAAGUUUGUUUCUUGUACGAGAAGGUUUCCUACGGGGAUCAGGACUUCUAUUAAGGCGGCGGUCAGACCGGCGGGCACACGGCGGUCAGACCGGCGGCGGUGACAGACGAUAGCAGGCAAUCUUGGCGGUUCGACCGGAGUUUAAUCUCGGUCAGACCGAUAUUCAUCAGGCGGUCAAACCGGCGCAGCUACUUCGGUCAGACCGCGAUCCGUCGAAUUUAAGGGUAACUUUUAUUUCCGCUAAAAGUUUUGGUUUUUGGAUAUACUAACCAUUCACCCCCCCCUCUGGUUGGCUUAGUUCUUGUGAUUCGAUCCUACAAUAUGUACUAUCUAUGUUCUUGCUAAAGGAAAUAGCUAGAAAACCAUGUACCGAAUAUGUUUUUGCUUUAAGAAAAUAGAAAACUAUUAAAUACUCACUUGUUGUGGAAA